rnacentral:rRNA from 1 species
GAAUAUUGGUCAAUGGAGGAGACUCUGAACCAGCCAUGCCGCGUGCAGGAAGACGGCCUUAUGGGUUGUAAACUGCUUUUGACAGGGAAGAAAACGUCCAUGCGUGGAUAAUUGACGGUACCUGUAGAAUAAGCCCCGGCUAACUCCGUGCCAGCAGCCGCGGUAAUACGGAGGGUGCAAGCGUUGUCCGGAUUUAUUGGGUUUAAAGGGUGCGUAGGUGGCCCAUUAAGUCAGUGGUGAAAUGCUGCAGCUUAACUGUAGCACUGCCAUUGAUACUGGUGGGCUUGAGUAUCGUUGAGGCAGGCGGAAUUUAUGAUGUAGCGGUGAAAUGCAUAGAUAUCAUAAAGAACACCGAUAGCGAAGGCAGCUUGCUUAGCGAUAACUGACACUAAUGCACGAAAGCGUGGGUAGCGAACAGG